rnacentral:rRNA from 1 species
AUUGAACGCUGGCGGCAGGCCUAACACAUGCAAGUCGAGCGGAUGAAGGGAGCUUGCUCCUGGAUUCAGCGGCGGACGGGUGAGUAAUGCCUAGGAAUCUGCCUGGUAGUGGGGGAUAACGUCCGGAAACGGGCGCUAAUACCGCAUACGUCCUGAGGGAGAAAGUGGGGGAUCUUCGGACCUCACGCUAUCAGAUGAGCCUAGGUCGGAUUAGCUAGUUGGUGGGGUAAAGGCCUACCAAGGCGACAAUCCGUAACUGGUCUGGGAGGAUGAUCAGUCACACUGGAACUGAGACACGGUCCAGACUCCUACGGGAGGCAGCAGUGGGGAAUAUUGGACAAUGGGCGAAAGCCUGAUCCAGCCAUGCCGCGUGUGUGAAGAAGGUCUUCGGAUUGUAAAGCACUUUAAGUUGGGAGGAAGGGCAGUAAGUUAAUACCUUGCUGUUUUGACGUUACCAACAGAAUAAGCACCGGCUAACUUCGUG